CGAAAGCCUGAUGCAGCGACGCCGCGUGAGGGAUGACGGCCUUCGGGUUGUAAACCUCUUUCAGCAGGGAGGAAGCGAAAGUGACGGUACCUGCAGAAGAAGCGCCGGCUAACUACGUGCCAGCAGCCGCGGUAAUACGUAGGGCGCGAGCGUUGUCCGGAAUUAUUGGGCGUAAAGAGCUCGUAGGCGGCUUGUCACGUCGGUUGUGAAAGCCCGGGGCUUAACCCCGGGUCUGCAGUCGAUACGGGCAGGCUAGAGUUCGGUAGGGGAGAUCGGAAUUCCUGGUGUAGCGGUGAAAUGCGCAGAUAUCAGGAGGAACACCGGUGGCGAAGGCGGAUCUCUGGGCCGAUACUGACGCUGAGGAGCGAAAGCGUGGGGAGCGAACAGGAUUAGAUACCCUGGUAGUCCACGCCGUAAACGGUGGGCACUAGGUGUGGGCGACAUUCCACGUCGUCCGUGCCGCAGCUAACGCAUUAAGUGCCCCGCCUGGGGAGUACGGCCGCAAGGCUA
rnacentral:rRNA from 1 species